UUUGGUAAGUACAACAUUAUCGAUGCAGAAAUUAAUACGAUUUUUGUAAUUUGUUUUAAUGUCGGUGAAUGCACCAAUAUGUGCCAUCAAUUUUAUAAUCAGUGACAAACUGCACACCUGAGUAGGUGCAUGUAAUGUAAUUGCAGUCGGAACUUGAGAUUCUUGUUACCUCACGUAAGCGUAUCCUUAAAAAGAGGAAAACAAGAAGAUACAAAAAAUAAAACAAUACAAUCGGAAUACGUUAUGCUCUAAAACAAUAUACACAAAGAAGGGGAAAUGCUCAGCAGCAUACCUACUUCCGAAAUGUCGAAUCGCUCAAGCGUUCAAAACAGGAAUUCAGGGAUAUAUGUACCUACGUAUAAGUUAGUAUAUGCGGAUGGAUAUGUGAAGACGAAGCCCGUCGCGUUGUCAGUGUCCGUGUAUAUCGGAAGGAGGAUAUCCCGCCACCGACGCUGCUGCUGCCAUCGUCAUCAACACGAAAACUACCUAUACACCCCAAGUGCCGGAAGGGAAGUUGGUUUGAAAUCGGAUAAGGUUGCUCGGUUUUAUCUUUUCAUUGAAUUUUUUUGUAGAGCUUCUCUCGUAAUCGAUCGAUAUUUCGAUUUUCAAUGUUUGGUCAGUUUCACCCUCGUUUAGCUACAAAAUCUAUCUCAUCGCAACGCCACCACCAUACUAUAGCUACACGACAGGCCACGCCACGCCACUCCACUCAACUCAACUCCACUUCAUCAGACCAGACCAGGCUCAAAAUGAAAAGAAAAGAGUAGAUAUCUACACAACGUACGGUCUACAUAGUAUAUUUCGGAAAUUAAACAUAAGAAGUCACCAUCAGGAUGGCUGGCUCUGUGCAUGUAAUUUCAUCCGCUGCAAUGAUCCUUGCCACUCUUUUUUUUAGGUUUUGUUUUUCUUACGUGCGGCACAUACGUACGUGAUGUUCCCCCUUACAGCAUUACCUUCGUUUGGAGACGACAACGACAGGUGCGCCAAGGAUCUACUCUAUACACUGAGAGAGGAUAGAUGUGAGCAAAGCGAACGAAUGGACCAUGCUAAAAGUGGCUUUCACCGAAGACGUGAUGGGGAGAAGGAGUAUGAGAUAGGACAAAAAAUUGUCUGGAGUAUUUUUUUCCCAUUACUUUAUCUCUCAAUAUAUACUUAACCUAAAGGAUACCAAGUUAUUUGUUCUUCUUAAACCGAUGCGAUGAUCAGAAUGAUGAUGAUUCGGUGGGUGCAAGGAACCCUUAUGCUUUGAGCAUAGGGACGACUAAAAGGAGAAUGACUUAGGCACAGCCUUCACGUCUGUCGGACGAUGAACUCUUACAACGGGCAGACGGCCAGCUGAUGGCGUUGACAUCUUUCUUUUUUUAUUCCCUGCGUUCGUUUUGUUUUAUCACGCCAGCAGUUGGACGAGCAUAAGAUGAUGUGUAUUUUUUACAGAAUCCUUUUUUCUGAUAUGAAGUUGAUUAUUAUAUAUUUUUUAGAUAAUUUUUGUAGUGUCUCAAU